rnacentral:rRNA from 1 species
CAAUCGCCGCGGGAAUACGGAGGAUCCAAGCGUUAUCCGGAAUCAUUGGGUUUAAAGGGUCCGUAGGCGGUCUUGUAAGUCAGUGGUGAAAGCCCAUCGCUCAACGGUGGAACGGCCAUUGAUACUGCAGGACUUGAAUUAUUGGGAAGUAACUAGAAUAUGUAGUGUAGCGGUGAAAUGCUUAGAGAUUACAUGGAAUACCAAUUGCGAAGGCAGGUUACUACCAAUUGAUUGACGCUGAUGGACGAAAGCGUGGGUAGCGAACAGGAUUAGAUACCCGCGUAGUCCCUGUCUCUUAUAA